rnacentral:rRNA from 1 species
UACGUAGGGUGCGAGCGUUGUCCGGAAUCAUUGGGCGUAAAGAGCGUGUAGGCGGCUCGAUAAGUCUGCUGUGAAAGUCCAGGGCUCAACCCUGGAAGGCCGGUGGAAACUGUCGGGCUAGAGUCCGGAAGAGGCGAGUGGAAUUCCCGGUGUAGCGGUGAAAUGCGCAGAUAUCGGGAGGAACACCAGUGGCGAAGGCGGCUCACUGGCCCGGUACUGACGCUGAGGUGCGAAAGCGUGGGGAGCAAACAGG